CAAUAGCGUAUGUUUAAGUUGCUGCAGUUAAAAAGCUCGUAGUUGGAUUUCGGGUGGGAGUGGCCGGUCCGCCGUUUCGGUGUGCACUUGCUACGCCCACCUUGCUGCCGGGGACGUGCUCUUGAGUUCACGCUCGGGACACGGAGUCGGCGAGGUUACUUUGAGUAAAUUAGAGUGUUCAAAGCAGGCCUACGCUCUGAAUACAUUAGCAUGGAAUAACACGAUAGGACUCUGGCCUAUCUUGUUGGUCUGUAGGACCGGAGUAAUGAUUAAGAGGGACAGUCGGGGGCAUUCGUAUUUCAUUGUCAGAGGUGAAAUUCUUGGAUUUAUGAAAGACGAACUACUGCGAAAGCAUUUGCCAAGGAUGUUUUCAUUAA
rnacentral:rRNA from 1 species